rnacentral:rRNA from 1 species
GCCUGCCCAGUGACCAUGUGUUCAACGGCCGCAGUAUUUUAACCGCGCGAAGGUAGCGUAAUCACUUGUUUUCUAAAUAAAGACUAGUAUGAACGGCCACACGAGGACUUAACUGUCUCCUUUAUCUAAUCAGUGAAACUGAUCCCCCCGUGCAGAAGCGGGGAUAACACCAUAAGACGAGAAGACCCUAUGGAGCUUUAAACCGAACUAACUACCCUUCUUUAACCUCUAAUAGAGCUAACACAUUUAGGUAAUAUUAAUUUUGGUUUUAGGUUGGGGCGACCAUGAAGAAAAACUUAACCUUCCUGAUGACUUAUAAACUAAGAGUUACAACUCUAAGUAUUAAGACUCUUAACCUUCAUUGACCCACUUUGUGACCAACGAACCAAGUUACCCUAGGGAUAACAGCGCAAUCCAUUUCAAGAGUCCUUAUCGACAAAUGGGUUUACGACCUCGAUGUUGGAUCAGGGCACCCAAGUGGUGCAACCGCUACUAAAGGUUCGUUUGUUCAACGAUUAAAGCCCU